AUUGAACGCUGGCGGCAGGCCUAACACAUGCAAGUCGAGCGGAUGAGGGGAGCUUGCUCCCUGAUUUAGCGGCGGACGGGUGAGUAAUGCGUAGGAAGCUGCCCGAUAGAGGGGGAUACCAGUUGGAAACGACUGUUAAUACCGCAUAAUGUCCACGGACCAAAGUGUGGGACCUUCGGGCCACAUGCUAUCGGAUGCGCCUACGUGGGAUUAGCUAGUUGGUGAGGUAAUGGCUCACCAAGGCGACGAUCUCUAGCUGGUUUGAGAGGAUGAUCAGCCACACUGGAACUGAGACACGGUCCAGACUCCUACGGGAGGCAGCAGUGGGGAAUAUUGGACAAUGGGCGCAAGCCUGAUCCAGCCAUGCCGCGUGUGUGAAGAAGGCCUUCGGGUUGUAAAGCACUUUCAGCGAGGAGGAAGGGUGGUGUGUUAAUAGCACAUCAUUUUGACGUUACUCGCAGAAGAAGCACCGGCUAACUCUGUGCCAGCCGCCGCUGUAAGAC
rnacentral:rRNA from 1 species